rnacentral:rRNA from 1 species
UGGCGGACGGGUGAAUAACGCGUGGAAAACCUGCCGUAUACUGGGGGAUAACACUUAGAAAUAGGUGCUAAUACCGCAUAAGCGCACAGCUUCGCAUGAAGCGGUGUGAAAAACUCUGGUGGUAUACGAUGGUUCCGCGUCUGAUUAGCUAGUUGGUGGGGUAAUGGCCUACCAAGGCAACGAUCAGUAGCCGGCCUGAGAGGGUGAACGGCCACAUUGGGACUGAGACACGGCCCAAACUCCUACGGAAGGCAGCAG